rnacentral:lncRNA from 1 species
CGAACAUGCUGGCUCCUGAUCCUGGAUUUCCAGCCUCCGGAACUGUGAGAAAUCAAUGUCAGUUGUUGAGAAGCACCCAGUUUAUGGUGUUUUGAGACAGCUGACUGGACUAAGGCAGAACGAAAGAGGGGAAGACUCACUUGUUUCUUCACAGGAUUAAACAGGGGCAGGCAGCUGGGACAAAGCAGCACUGGACCCGAGCUGGAGGGAUGGAUCCCGGGCCCUCCACUCACUGGCCGACAAUGACGGGCAAGUGGCUUCACCUCUCGUCCCUCAGUGACUUCAUCUAUAAAUGGGGCUGAAAUCAGGGAAUCAAAAGGCAUGAAGAGCUAGCCCCUAGCAUGACACUUGGCCUACUUUUGGUAUUUAAUAAACGUCUU